UACGUAGGUGGCAAGCGUUGUCCGGAUUUACUGGGCGUAAAGAGCGCGCAGGCGGUCGAUUUAGUCGCGUGUGAAAGCCCCACGCUCAACGUGGGAAGGUCCGGCGAGACGGGUGGACUGGAGGCAGGGAGAGGUCGGUGGAAUUCCGGGUGUAGUGGUGAAAUGCGUAGAGAUCCGGAGGAACACCAGAGGCGAAGGCGGCCGACUGGACCUGACCUGACGCUGAGGCGCGAAAGCCAGGGGGAGCAAACGGGG
rnacentral:rRNA from 1 species